GACGAACGCUGGCGGCGUGCUUAACACAUGCAAGUCGAACGGAAAGGCCCUGCUUGCAGGGUACUCGAGUGGCGAACGGGUGAGCAACACGUGGGUGAUCUGCCCUGCACUUCGGGAUAAGCCUGGGAAACUGGGUCUAAUACCGGAUAGGAGCCAUUUUUAGUGUGAUGGUUGGAAAGUUUUUUCGGUGUAGGAUGAGCUCGCGGCCUAUCAGCUUGUUGGUGGGGUAAUGGCCUACCAAGGCGGCGACGGGUAGCCGGCCUGAGAGGGUGGACGGCCACAUUGGGACUGAGAUACGGCCCAGACUCCUACGGGAGGCAGCAGUGGGGAAUAUUGCACAAUGGGCGCAAGCCUGAUGCAGCGACGCCGCGUGGGGGAUGACGGCCUUCGGGUUGUAAACUCCUUUCGCUAGGGACGAAGCUUUUUGUGACGGUACCUAGAUAAGAAGCACCGGCUAACUACGAG
rnacentral:rRNA from 1 species